GAUGAACGCUGGCGGCGUGCCUAAUACAUGCAAGUCGAGCGAACAGAUGAGGAGCUUGCUCCUCUGACGUUAGCGGCGGACGGGUGAGUAACACGUGGAUAACCUACCUAUAAGACUGGGAUAACUUCGGGAAACCGGAGCUAAUACCGGAUAAUAUAUUGAACCGCAUGGUUCAAUAGUGAAAGACGGUUUUGCUGUCACUUAUAGAUGGAUCCGCGCCGCAUUAGCUAGUUGGUAAGGUAACGGCUUACCAAGGCGACGAUGCGUAGCCGACCUGAGAGGGUGAUCGGCCACACUGGAACUGAGACACGGUCCAGACUCCUACGGGAGGCAGCAGUAGGGAAUCUUCCGCAAUGGGCGAAAGCCUGACGGAGCAACGCCGCGUGAGUGAUGAAGGUCUUCGGAUCGUAAAACUCUGUUAUUAGGGAAGAACAAAUGUGUAAGUAACUAUGCACGUCUUGACGGUACCUAAUCAGAGAGCCACGGCUAACUACGUG
rnacentral:rRNA from 1 species